AUGGCAGUGAGCACUUUCUCAUCGACUUUGCACACCACCGAUUUUGCCACUACGUGUCCCACUACACCCGCGCUCUGGACCGAGGCGGUGCUACCACCCGAAGACGAGGAGGAGAACGUCCUGCACAUCGGCGGUAUCUUCCCCGUUGCCGGAGAGGGCGGCUGGCAAGGCGGCCAGGCUUGCAUGCCAGCUGCGCGCCUGGCCUUAGAAGACGUUAAUCGCGAAAAGAACUUGUUACGCGGAUAUAGACUGCAUCUCCAUUCCAACGAUAGUGAGUGCGAGCCCGGCCUUGGCGCAUCCGUAAUGUACAACUUACUAUACUUUCCACCCUACAAAUUAAUGCUGUUGGCCGGGUGCAGCACGGUAUGCACCACGGUCGCCGAGGCGGCGAAGAUGUGGAACUUGGUGGUGCUCUGCUACGGUGCAUCAUCGCCGGCGCUGUCCGACCGAAAUCGAUUCCCGACCCUGUUCAGGACGCAUCCUUCCGCCACCGUGCACAACCCCACGAGAAUCAAAUUGCUGCAAAAAUUCGGUUGGUCUCGGGUAGCGAUACUCCAGCAGGCCGAAGAAGUAUUUAUAUCAACCGUGGAAGAUCUAGAAGCGCGGUGUAAGGAAGCUGGGAUAGAGAUAGUCACUCGUCAGAGCUUCCUAUCGGAUCCCACGGACGCGGUGAAGAAUCUACGCCGUCAGGACGCGCGAAUAAUCGUCGGGCUGUUCUACGUCGUGGCCGCGAGACGGGUGCUCUGCGAGCUCUACCACCAGAAGCUGUACGGCCAGUCCUACGUGUGGUUCUUCAUAGGUUGGUACGAGGACGACUGGUUCGAGAUCAACUUGGAGAAGGAGGGCAUCACCUGCACGAAGGAGCAGAUGCGGAUGGCGGCGGAGGGGCACUUAACUACCGAGGCGCUUAUGUGGAAUCAGAAUAACGACACGACGAUUAGUGGCAUGACCGCCGAAGACUUCCGAAAGAGAUUGAACAAGCUGCUGAAGGACGACGGCUACGACAUAGAUAACAAUCGAUAUCCGGAAGGAUACCAGGAGGCGCCUCUCGCCUAUGACGCCGUCUGGUCCGUCGCUCUUGCGUUCAACAGAACCAUGGAAAGGCUAAGCAAGAUGGGUAACAGUCUGAAGAACUUCACUUACGAAAACAAAGAGAUCGCCGACGAGAUAUACGCGGCGGUAAACUCGACCCAGUUUCUCGGAGUUUCCGGUUACGUCGCGUUCAGCUCCCAGGGCGACAGGAUCGCCCUGACGCAGAUCGAGCAGGUGAUCGACGGAAAGUACGUUACAUUAGGGUACUACGAUACGCAGAGCGACAAUCUAACGUGGCGGAACGUGGAGCGAUGGAUCGCCGGGAAGGUGCCGCAAGACAGAACGAUAAUAAGAAACGUUUUGCGAACAGUGUCACUGCCCUUAUUCAUAAGUAUGGCGACCUUGUCAGCGCUCGGCAUCGUGAUAGCCAUCGGAUUGAUCGUAUUUAAUGUCUAUAAUAGGCACCGAAGAGUUAUAUAUUCGUCUCAUCCAACCGCCAACACGAUAAUGCUGGUGGGAAUAAUAGGCUGCUUCUUGGCCGUGUUGUGUAUAGGAAUUGACGGUAGGUUCGUGACGCCGUGGCAGUUUUUGAUAGUCUGCCAGGCUAGAGCGUGGACGAUGUCGGUUGGUUUCACCCUGGCGUUCGGUGCCAUGUUCAGCAAAGUGUGGAGGGUCCAUCGACUCUCCACGAAGGCGAAAGCCGAUCAAGGAAAAUCAUUGACGGCUAAACAAAAAGUUUCGUCUAUACAGAAGAAGAUUGAGCCGUGGAAGCUGUACGUUAUGCUGGGCGGAUUGCUGUCGGUGGACAUCAUCCUCCUCGUCACUUGGCGAGUGGUCGACCCGCUGCGACGGAGAAUCGAGACCUUCGCCCUAGAACUGCCUCCUUACGGAGACGAGGACGCAAUGAUCAGACCCGAAUUGGAACACUGCGAGAGCGAUAACAACAGCUUGUGGCUCGGAUUGAUCUACGGCUACAAAGGCAUUGUUCUUGCGUUCGGGCUCUUUCUAUCGUACGAGACGAGAAGCAUCAAAAUCAAACUGAUCAAUGAUUCGAGAUACGUAGGAAUGUCGAUAUAUAAUAUCGUAGUUCUAUGUCUCAUAACGGUACCUGUGGUAAUGGUCAUCUCUAGUCAGCAGGACGCGAGCUACGCCUUCUCGGCGUUGGCCACCAUCUUUUGUUGCUUCCUCAGCAUGGCCCUCAUCUUCGUGCCGAAGGUCAUCGAGGUGAUCAGGCAUCCUAGGGACAAGUCCGAGUCGAGAUACAAUCCAGACGGCGCGGUAUCCAAGGAAGAGGAAGAGAAGUAUCAGAAACUGCUCAACGAAAAUGAUGAACUUCAGAAACUCAUUGCAGCGAAAGAGGAAAAGAUUCAAGCCAUCAAGCAGAAGCUGGCUGAACGCGACGCCCUGAAAGGAACCGGCACGAGUCGUUGCAGGCAAGGUCAGCCCAAGCAAACUUUCAUCGUUGCUGACUAUCCGACCGGCGAGGGAACAUCGGACAGUGCUAUCGGUGGGGGUAUUUCCAUUUGUACAAAAUCCUCCCGCGCUUCCGCUUCUGAUGUUGAGUUUUCAGAAACAUACUUAUAAUCUCGCCACGUACACGGAUAAAAUCAGGCCGCUACGGACGUCCUCAUGCAUUCGCGCGAUACAUUUGGGACCUAAAAUUCUUUUCAAUUGAUCUCGGUGAUUAUUGUUACGCCUCACUUUUAAAUUGAACGGUAUUUCCGGUAUUAUUUGUCGUAAGUAUCGAUGGGUACGUACUUGCGUGUUUCUUCACGAUGCACUUUCGAGCAAUGUCUCGUUAAAAUGGCCGGAGUACACGAUUAUUCACGACAGCUACACUCCAACGCGACGAUAACACGGACGAUGAAAUAUAAUUUUUAUUGAAUGGCUAAAUCUGCACAAUUUAAGGAAAAUAAUGGAACAUCAGAAACUGAGUCGUGAUUUUGAGUUAUUAAAAAAAGCUGGCACAUAUGUUUUUCUCACGCAACUUGCGCACGAUUGAUAAAUUAUGUUGCAUCUUCAUUGAUUGCAGAAUAUAAAAUUUGUUCGGUGAAUACAUAAAAAGUAAUCUAUUGCAACAAUAAAAUAAACGAGUGUUAAUGUCAUGUCAAUGUGAAUGUUAGCUCUUAAUCGAAUUGUUUACAGAAUUUUUUGAAUUGUUAAUUAUAAUUUAUAGUUUUUUCACUUCAGUAAAGAGAUAUUUUAUAGUUUUAGAUCGUUAAAUAUUUAAAUAUACAAAUAGUAUCGAUUAAUAUGUAUAUGUACGUGAAGUAGAAAUUUUUAUCUUAGUAAAUUAGAAACUCUCUUCCUGUGAAUUCAUAUAAACGAAAAACACACGAUCUAAUGAAAUCUUCUGGCCUACACUUCAUGAAAGUUUUAUGAAAGUUGGUCCUAUCUUUCUGACAGCAAUGUGUUCUUCUUUCUAUAAUUAUCUAUUAUCGAUUAAUUAUUUACUGGUAGAACGACAUGUGUAUUUUUAUAUGUAGCCCAAGAGUCCCAUUAGCUGUUGUGUAGACGCUCGAGAUUGGAUGUUUGUGAAAUCAUUAGGUGUAUUUUUCAACACCUGUGAGAAAGUACUCGGAUCGAAGGUACUCGAAUCUUCUUAGCGUAAUACAAUCUUUAUCCUAUGGACCAAGUUACUCCACCGUGGAAUAGCAUUUUCAGAGACGGAGCUUUUGAGUAUUUUAUAUCUUGACUUGUAACUAUUUUAUUGACAAACUAUAUACUCGAAGGAAAAUAUAAAGUCUUUCAAUCAUUAUCGAUUUCAAUUAAAUACACAACUUGAUAUUUUUCUUAAAAAUGUAACGAAUUUUCAAAGAAAAAAAAAUGUUAUAACAGAUAAAAACGAAACGUGUUCGCUGAACGAUAUAAAUUUAACCAAACGUGGUCUUUAAUAAAAACGAAGGAACAAGGAAAUUGGAAUUACAUUCUUAUACCGGUUAUGUAAUUUUCUCGUAAAAGUAUUUAUCUUUCCAAAUAAGAAUACAGAAUAAUAAGAAAGAAUAUAAAUAUAUUUUGAAACGCACAAUAUAUAUAAAUAUAAUGGACAUGUUAUACCUAAAGUAAAAAAUGUAUUAUUCAACCGGUAUAGAUACCGCCGCUGUAAACUGCAAAUUGGAUUUGACUGGCUCAGGAUGAUGUUUAUAACAUGUUUAUCAUUUGUUACAGAGCACGUAUACUUAUUACACGAAGCAACUUGUAAUGUUUACGUUUAGGCCUAAAAAUAAUCUUCACUCAUGUCAUGUGACUCAGUUUAUCGCAGUUAAAUCUCGUUAGAAAAGUGUCGUAUUGAUUGUGUACAGUAUCAAACGUUGUUGUAAACCUCAUGAAGCGUACUCCCAAAUUUGAUGACAUGAAGACAAGAAGAAACCAAAUUACGAAAUUUGGUCCAAUCCGGUUUAAUGACGCAGUUGUUCACAUAGACGCGAAGUGUGCUAACGAGAUUUAAAUGCUUACGAAUUUCGUAUGCCGUUCGUUUAUAAUUUGGGAGUCUUGAUGAGGUGUGAAGUGUUACCAUUACCGUUUAGCAUGUAAGCCAGGACGCACGAUUGUUAAUUUUUGAUGAACGUUUUUUGAACAGAGCAACAUCGGACGCAUGUCGGACCGUUUUGGGAUACUUACACGGAGAAUAGGCACGCAGCACAUCGCCGAAAUGUACGAACUGCACCGACUAUGAUGCCAAAGCAAUACACACGCAAACGAGCGCUACGCUUGCGACAAAACUCUCUUCUAAAACUAGUAUUAAAUCUACGUGCACGGUCAAUAUGCGAAGCAUACGAGUCUUGGAACACGCCAAAAGUGAGAAUAACUCUCCGUAAUGUCUGAGACACGAUGACGGGAAACCCCGUUAAAGUAACUGUAACUUAUAGUUUAUAGCGGAUGGAAUUGUUUUAUAUGUUUCGACUGCGCCUUAGAAAGAGGAAGGAGAACAAAAAUUUAAGGAAAAAAAAACAAGAAAAGGAAAAGACACGGUUAGGUUGAGACAUGGUACAUGCGUCGCGCGGAUGUUACGGCUGUUUAUCGCGUGUUCUCUCUCAGGCACACAAACCGAAGAUAAUGUGAAAUCUGUCGUCGUAAAUCCCGUGUAUAGACAGUAUUUAAAAAACGGAAUGUAAUUUCUCAUUUACGGUACCUACCACGCGCGCUCACCCACGCAGUAUUUUUUACUGUACUCGUUUUAAUCAACUGCCGCGCAAACGGCGCUUGUAAGUCUAGCAUUAUACAUUAUAACGAUAGUCCUAUCGAACUGUUGACGAAAGUAUCACAUAUAUGUACGUUAGAUUUAUGGAGAUAUUUAUUUUUAAGUUUUUGAAUUAUAAAAUCCGUUAAAAAAAAAAAUCGAAGGCUCUAUCUAUUAUUGAACCCUGGGGAUUGUUUACUCGAUCCGAAGCUCGCGCAGCUCACGAUCGGCGUGAUCGCGAGUGUUCAUAUCUCUACGUUGUUUCUAGAGUUGAGAUUUUAAUAAAGAAAAUUUAAACAAA
rnacentral:misc_RNA from 1 species